GGAUCUUGAGAGCGGCGUACGGGUGCGGAACACGUUGUGCAACCUGCCUAUCUGGGGGAUAGCCUUUCGAAAGGAAGAUUAAUACCCCAUAAUAUGUUGAAUGGCAUCAUUCGACAUUGAAAACUCCGGUGGAUAGAGAUGGGCACGCGCAAGAUUAGAUAGUUGGUGAGGUAACGGCUCACCAAGUCUACGAUCUUUAGGGGGGCCUGAGAGGGUGAUCCCCCACACUGGUACUGAGACACGGACCAGACUCCUACGGGAGGCAGCAGUGAGGAAUAUUGGACAAUGGGUGAGAGCCUGAUCCAGCCAUCCCGCGUGAAGGACGACUGCCCUAUGGGUUGUAAACUUCUUUUGUAUAGGGAUAAACCUACCCUCGUGAGGGUAGCUGAAGGUACUAUACGAAUAAGCACCGGCUAACUCCGUGCCAGCAGCCGCGGUAAUACGGAGGGUGCAAGGCGUUAUCCGGAUUUAUUGGGGUUUAAAGGGGUCGUAGGCGGAUCUGUAAGGUCAGGGUGAAAUUCUCACAGGUUUACUUGUGAAACUGCCUUUGGAUACUNGGCAGGGUCUUUGGAGUUUGUUGGGUGAAAUUUAGUUGGGGAA
rnacentral:rRNA from 1 species